GGGUCAGAGGGUUGGAGGGUUCUAGGGUUUUGGAGGGUUUUAGGGUCAGAGGGUUGGAGAGUUUUGGAGAGUUUUAGGGUUGGAGGGUUCUAGGGUUGGAGGGUUUUAGGGCUGGAGGGAUUUGGAGGGUUUUAGGGUUGAAGGGUUUUGGAGAGUUUUAGGGUUGGAAGGAUUUGGAGGUUUUUAGGGUUGGAGGGUUUCAGGGUUUUGGAGGGUUUUAGGGCUGGAGGGUUUUGGAGGGUUUUAGGGUUUCAGGGUUUUGGAGGGUUUUAGGGUCAGAGGGUUGGAGGGGUUUUGGAGGGUUUUAGGGUUGGAGGGUUUUAGGGUUGGAGGGUUUGGAGGGUUUAGGGUUGGAGGGUUUUAUGGUUUUGGAGGGUUUUAGGGUCACAAGGUUGGAGGGUUUUGGAGGGUUUUAGGGUUUCAGGGUUUUGGAGGGUUUUAGGGUCAGAGGGUUGGAGGGGUUUUGGAGGGUUUUAGGGUUGGAGGGUUUUAUGGUUUUAGGGUUGGACAGUUUUAGUAUUUUAGGAUUGGACGGUUUUAGGGUUUUAGGGUUGGACGGUUUUAGGGUUGGACGGUUUUAGGGUUUUAGGGUUGGAGGGUUUUAGGGUUGGAGGGUUUUAGGGCUGGAGGGUUUUAGGGUUUCAGGGUUUUGGAGGGUUUGGUAGGUGGGUUUGGAGGGUUUUAGGGUUGGAGGGUUUUAGGGUUUUAUGGCUGGAGGGUUUUGGAGUUACUGUUACCACACCGACGUUCCAAUAACAGCAUGUCUUGACAUCUUUUAAUCCUCUUCCACCACAGCAACUUGGCCGUGAUUACAUUAGUAAGAUUUAACGUUGUGGAACAUCUACGUAACAGGUUAUUUCCUGUUCUCACUUACAUUAUGGCAGCUUUAAACAGUUUUUCCCUCACCAGCCUCUCUUCUUUUAUUGAGCUGAAAGUUACCUCUUUUUACAAAAAAAAAUCACAUGAUU
ensembl:lncRNA